UACGGGGGGGGCAAGCGUUGUUCGGAAUUACUGGGCGUAAAGGGCUCGUAGGUGGCCAACUAAGUCAGACGUGAAAUCCCUCGGCUUAACCGGGGAACUGCGUCUGAUACUGGAUGGCUUGAGUCCGGAAGAGGCGAGUGGAAUUCCUGGUGUAGCGGUGGAAUGCGCAGAUAUCUGGAGGAACACCGGUGGCGAAGGCGGCAUCCUGGACCAACACUGACGCUGAGGAGCGAAAGCCAGGGGAGCAAACGGG
rnacentral:rRNA from 1 species